CGACCUCCAAGACUCAAGCACGUGACAGGAGUUGCAAUUCAGCCACUGCCAAGGGCAGAAAUGGGCCUAUUAACUUUCACAACUGCCACCAUUCCCCCAGGUCUCUGCAGCCACUGCAGCCCACAUGGCACUCAGGAAUCUCAGCAACCCAAAGGGAUGCAACGGCGAGGGCCUCAGACCUGACCUGGGGCUCCAAUCACAAACCACAGAAGCUUCAUUGCUUUAGAAUCGACAUCACCAGAGCCCCAAUUAGUGCAUCUGCAGCAGGAAUCAGGACAAAAUGCACCUUUCCAAGCUAAGACGUCAACUGUCUGAGGCUAGGAUCUACUGCGACACCUACCACCACUGGACAAGCCAGAUGGCUCUAUGCUCCUCAGUGCCUUUACAUGGACCUUGUAUUCCAAGAGGGCCGCUAGAAUAUCUGUACAUGGCCCACCCUCAGACGGGAGCCUCGCAAAUGGUGGUGACCUGGCUCCUCCAUGCGUGUGUGUGACACAGUCGGAGACGCCCUCACUGCUAACCAGUCCCACCCUUAACCCCAAGGGAGGCAACGUGCUGGACCUCAGUUUCGAUGAGGAGACGGUAGUGAGUUCUCACUCAUUUUGUUCAGAUUUUCCAAGGAAUGCAUGUGAGGGUGUCAUCAUCGAUCCGAGCACGUGCUGGCUUGCUGCCCACCUCCUCACGGCAGGAAGGGCUGCUCCCAGGAGGAGCCAGUGACCCGGGAGUCCUCCAGCAGCCAGGGGAACUCAGAGCCCUCAGGCUUCUCAGCAAGAGGAACGGUCCCUCUAUACGAACAACCACUCAGGCAGUCCCAGGAAACCUGAAAUUCACGACACGUCUUGGGGCAGGAGAAGCCGUACCGUGCUGGGUGAUCCAAAAAGCAGUGGCAGCAACUCGGGUGCGCCACACUUCUUGCCGGACUCCCUUGCACCUUGAGUCACUGCCUCACGGGUGGGGGUUCAUCUCCUGGCUGAUGGACAGUCAUACGUGUGGCAGCAACUCGGGUGCGCCACACUUCUUGCCGGACUCCCUUGCACCUUGAGUCACUGCCUCACGGGUGGGGGUUCAUCUCCUGGCUGAUGGACAGUCAUACGUGGCAACUUCACCUGACAAGUGGACAGAAAGCACAGGAAUGCUUCAGAUGUGUACUUGGUCUCUCACUAAUACUGAUGCAAGUGUUUCCCUAGGGGAAGGCCUGUA
rnacentral:lncRNA from 1 species